rnacentral:rRNA from 1 species
AUUGAACGCUGGCGGCAGGCCUAACACAUGCAAGUCGAACGUGAAAGCUCCUUCGGGAGUAAGUAGAGUGGCGAACGGGUGAGUAACGCGUAGACAUCUUCCCAAGAGUGGGGAACAACCCGGAGAAAUCCGGGCUAAUACCGCAUAUACCCUACGGGGCAAAGUGGGGGACCUUUCGGGGCCUCACGCUUUUGGAUGAGUCUGCGUCGGAUUAGCUUGUUGGUAGGGUAAUGGCCUACCAAGGCGACGAUCCGUAGCUGGUCUGAGAGGAUGACCAGCCACACUGGGACUGAGACACGGCCCAGACUCCUACGGGAGGCAGCAGUGGGGAAUAUUGGACAAUGGGGGCAACCCUGAUCCAGCCAUGCCGCGUGUGUGAAGAAGGCCUUCGGGUUGUAAAGCACUUUCAGUGGGGAAGAAAAGCCUAAGGAUAAUACCCUUGGGUCUUGACGGUACCUACAGAAGAAGCACCGGCUAAUUCCGUG